rnacentral:rRNA from 1 species
AUUGAACGCUGGCGGCAGGCCUAACACAUGCAAGUCGAACGAGUGGCGGACGGGUGAGUAAUGUCUGGGAAACUGCCCGAUGGAGGGGGAUAACUACUGGAAACGGUAGCUAAUACCGCAUACCAUCGGAUGUGCCCAGAUUGGAUUAGCUUGUGGGUGAGGUAACGGCUAACCUAGGCGACGAUCCCUAGCUGGUCGGAGAGGAUGACCGGCCACACGGGAACUGAGACACGGUCCAGACUCCUACGGGAGGCAGCAGUGGGGAAUAUUGCACAAUGGGCGAAAGCCUGAGAGAGCCAUGCCGCGUGUAUGAAGAAGGCCUUCGGGUUGUAAAGUUCUUUCAGCGGGGAAGCGUUACCCGCAGAAGAAGCACCGGCUAACUCCGUGCCAGCAGCCGCGGUAAUUC